CAGGUCUGUGAUGCCCUUAGAUGUCCUGGGCCGCACGCGCGCUACACUGGAGGGAUCAGCGUGUUAUUCAUCCCUGUCUGAAAAGACCGGGCAACCGCUGAACCCCCUCCGUGGUUGGGAUUGGGGACUGCAAUGAUCCCCAUGAACCAGGAAUCCCUAGUAGGCGCGGGUCACUAGCCCGCGUCGAUUACGUCCCUGCCCUUUGUACACACCGCCCGU
rnacentral:rRNA from 1 species